ACAGGGAUGCCCUAGUAACGGCGAGUGAAGCGGCAACAGCUCAAAUUUGAAAUCUGGCGUCUUUGGCGUCCGAGUUGUAAUUUGCAGAGGGCGCUUUGGCAUUGGCAGCGGUCCAAGUUCCUUGGAACAGGACGUCACAGAGGGUGAGAAUCCCGUACGUGGUCGCUAGCCUUUACCGUGUAAAGCCCCUUCGACGAGUCGAGUUGUUUGGGAAUGCAGCUCUAAAUGGGAGGUAAAUUUCUUCUAAAGCUAAAUACUGGCCAGAGACCGAUAGCGCACAAGUAGAGUGAUCGAAAGAUGAAAAGCACUUUGGAAAGAGAGUUAAAAAGCACGUGAAAUUGUUGAAAGGGAAGCGCUUGCAGCCAGACUUGCCUGUAGUUGCUCAUCCGGGUUUUUACCCGGUGCACUCUUCUAUAGGCAGGCCAGCAUCAGUUUGGGCGGUUGGAUAAAGGUCUCUGUCAUGUACCUCUCUUCGGGGAGAACUUAUAGGGGAGACGACAUGCAACCAGCCUGGACUGAGGUCCGCGCAUCUGCUAGGAUGCUGGCGUAAUGGCUGUAAGCGGCCCGUCUUGAAACACGGACCAAGGAGUCUAACAUCUAUGCGAGUGUUUGGGUGUCAAGCCCGAGCGCGUAAUGAAAGUGAACGGAGGUGGGAACCCCUCGGGGUGCACCAUCGACCGAUCCUGAU
rnacentral:rRNA from 1 species